rnacentral:rRNA from 1 species
CGUACGGGUGCGGAACACGUGUGCAACCUGCCUUUAUCUGGGGGAUAGCCUUUCGAAAGGAAGAUUAAUACCCCAUAAUAUAUUGAUUGGCAUCAAUUGAUAUUGAAAACUCCGGUGGAUAGAGAUGGGCACGCGCAAGAUUAGAUAGUUGGUGAGGUAACGGCUCACCAAGUCAGUGAUCUUUAGGGGGCCUGAGAGGGUGAUCCCCCACACUGGUACUGAGACACGGACCAGACUCCUACGGGAGGCAGCAGUGAGGAAUAUUGGACAAUGGGUGAGAGCCUGAUCCAGCCAUCCCGCGUGAAGGACGACGGCCCUAUGGGUUGUAAACUUCUUUUGUAUAGGGAUAAACCUUUCCACGUGUGGAAAGCUGAAGGUACUAUACGAAUAAGCACCGGCUAACUCCGUGCCAGCAGCCGCGGUAAUACGGAGGGUGCAAGCGUUAUCCGGAUUUAUUGGGUUUAAAGGGUCCGUAGGCGGGCUCGUAAGUCAGUGGUGAAAUCUCAUAGCUUAACUAUGAAACUGCCAUUGAUACUGCGAGCCUUGAGUAAGGUAGAGGUAGCUGGAAUAAGUAGUGUAGCGGUGAAAUGCAUAGAUAUUACUUAGAACACCAAUUGCGAAGGCAGGUUACCAUGUCUUAACUGACGCUGAUGGACGAAAGCG